rnacentral:rRNA from 1 species
CAGUAGCCGCGGUAAUACGGAGGGUGCAAGCGUUAAUCGGAAUUACUGGGCGUAAAGCGCACGCAGGCGGUUUGUUAAGUCAGAUGUGAAAUCCCCGAGCUUAACUUGGGAACUGCAUUAGAAACUGGCAAGCUAGAGUCUUGUAGAGGGGGGUAGAAUUCCAGGUGUAGCGGUGAAAUGCGUAGAGAUCUGGAGGAAUACCGGUGGCGAAGGCGGCCCCCUGGACAAAGACUGACGCUCAGGUGCGAAAGCGAGGGGAGCAAACAGGAUUAGAGACCCCUGUAGUCCCUGUCUCUUAUAC